rnacentral:rRNA from 1 species
UGGGGAAUAUUGGACAAUGGGCGCAAGCCUGAUCCAGCCAUGCCGCGUGAGUGACGAAGGCCUUAGGGUUGUAAAGCUCUUUUGGCGGGGAAGAUAAUGACGGUACCCGCAGAAUAAGCUCCGGCUAACUUCGUGCCAGCAGCCGCGGUAAUACGAAGGGAGCUAGCGUUGUUCGGAAUCACUGGGCGUAAAGCGCACGUAGGCGGAUGUGCCAGUCAGGGGUGAAAUCCCGGAGCUCAACUUCGGAACUGCCCUUGAGACAGCACGUCUUGAGUCCGAGAGAGGUGAGUGGAAUUCCUAGUGUAGAGGUGAAAUUCGUAGAUAUUAGGAAGAACACCGGUGGCGAAGGCGGCUCACUGGCUCGGUACUGACGCUGAGGUGCGAAAGCGUGGGGAGCAAACA